rnacentral:rRNA from 1 species
GAUGAACGCUGGCGGCGUGCUUAACACAUGCAAGUCGAACGGAAAGGCUCCUGCUUGCAGGGGUACUCGAGUGGCGAACGGGUGAGUAACACGUGGGUGAUCUGCCCUGCACUUCGGGAUAAGCCUGGGAAACUGGGUCUAAUACCGGAUAGGACGAUGGGUUGGAUGCCAUUGUGGAAAGUUUUUCGGUGUGGGAUGAGCUCGCGGCCUAUCAGCUUGUUGGUGGGGUAAUGGCCUACCAAGGCGUCGACGGGUAGCCGGCCUGAGAGGGUGUACGGCCACAUUGGGACUGAGAUACGGCCCAGACUCCUACGGGAGGCAGCAGUGGGGAAUAUUGCACAAUGGGCGCAAGCCUGAUGCAGCGACGCCGCGUGGGGGAUGACGGCCUUCGGGUUGUAAACUCCUUUCGCUAGGGACGAAGCGCAAGUGACGGUACCUGGAGAAGAAGCACCGGCUAACUACGUG